UUUCCGUAGGUGAACCUGUGGAAGGAUCAUUCAUAAUAAGUGUUUUAUGGCACUUUUUUAAAUCCAUAUCCACCUUGUGUGCAAUGUCAGGGUUGAUUUUUCUUUCGAGAGGAUCAGCCCCAAACAUCAACUAUAUCUCAACUCUUUGUCUGAAAAAUAUUAUGAAUAAAACAAUUCAAAAUACAACUUUCAACAACGGAUCUCUUGGCUCUC
rnacentral:misc_RNA from 1 species